AAAACUUUUGUGGCUCGACUCAAAAAGAAAUGAAGGGGAAUAUAUGAAUCAAAUUUUCCUUCAGAAUUCAAAUAUGCGCUUGAACCAGCUUUAGAGAUAUUUUCAAGGAUCACCACUACCCUCGCAUAAGGUUCUGAAUGAGGACAUUCCAAUUUUGCAAAAAUUGUACAACCCUUUCAGCUUUUCUUGCAACAAGCUAACAAAAAUACACCGAAACCCAUCUGUGUUUCUCUUCCAUUUAUUCAAUUGUUUUCGUUGAUUGACGAAGCUGAAACUUCAAACAUAGAUCGAGAUAAAUGAUGUCCAGAGAAGCUCAAAGAGUGGUGGUGAUUCAAGAUGCAUCCAGCGAAGUUAGUUCGAAUGCAAUCAGAUGGGUUUUACAAGGCUUAUCCUUGAAGCAGGGAGAUAUACUCACCCUCCUUUCAGUUCUUUGCCAGGUUAAUAAUCAUAGUACGUUAGCUUUCAUGGGAGCCGGGAAAAUGUGUAAGAUUUCAUGUUAUUUUAGUAACCAGAUAAAAGACUAAAGAACAAACAACAGGUUCGUUUGGUAACUACUUCUACUUUCAUGAUUCUACUUCUUAUUUCUGGUUUCAUAUGUUUCUGAUUUCACUUGUUUACGGGUGGAAACAUAAAUAAGGCACAAUGUUUGGU
rnacentral:lncRNA from 1 species